rnacentral:rRNA from 1 species
CCUACGGGGGGCAGCAGUGGGGAAUAUUGCACAAUGGGUGAAAGCCUGAUGCAGCAACGCCGCGUGAAGGAAGAAGGGUUUCGGCUCGUAAACUUCUAUCAACAGGGACGAAAGAAAUGACGGUACCUGUAUAUGAAGCCCCGGCUAACUACGGGCCAGCAGCCGCGGUAAUACGGGGGAUGCGAGUGUUAUCCGGAUUUAUUGGGGUAAAGGGGGGCGUAGGGGGGAGGCCAAGUCAGCGGUAAAAAUGCGGUGCUCAACGCCGUCGAGCCGUUGAAACUGGCGUUCUUGAGUGGGCGAGAAGUAUGCGGAAUGCGUGGUGUAGCGGUGAAAUGCAUAGAUAUCACGCAGAACUCCGAUUGCGAAGGCAGCAUACCGGCGCCCUACUGACGCUGAGGCACGAAAGCGUGGGUAUCGAACAGGAUUAGAUACCCCUGUAGUC